rnacentral:pre_miRNA from 1 species
UCUUACGGAAGAGGAAAGAAAGUGGUUUCUUAAGAUGGAAACUCCUCUUGGUAAAAAUGCUGUGAA